rnacentral:rRNA from 1 species
AGAUUGCGUCAGUAGCGGCGAGCGAAAGCGCAAGAGGGCAAACCCAGUGCUUGCACUGGGGGUUGUAGGACUGCAAUGUGCAAGAGCUGAGUUUAGCAGAACAUUCUGGAAAGUAUAGCCAUAGAGGGUGAUAGUCCCGUAUGCGAAAAACAAAGCUUAGCUAGCAGUAUCCUGAGUAGGGCGGGACACGAGAAAUCCUGUCUGAAUCCGGGUCGACCACGAUCCAACCCUAAAUACUAAUACCAGAUCGAUAGUGCACAAGUACCGUGAGGGAAAGGUGAAAAGAACUGAGGUGAUCAGAGUGAAAUAGAACCUGAAACCAUUUGCUUACAAUCAUUCAGAGCACUAUGUAGCAAUACAGUGUGAUGGACUGCCUUUUGCAUAAUGAGCCUGCGAGUUGUGGUGUCUGGCAAGGUUAAGCAAACGCGAAGCCGUAGCGAAAGCGAGUCUGAAUAGGGCGCUUAGUCAGAUGCUGCAGACCCGAAACGAAGUGAUCUAUCCAUGAGCAAGUUGAAGCUAGUGUAAGAACUAGUGGAGGACUGAACCCAUAGGCGUUGAAAAGCCCCGGGAUGACUUGUGGAUAGGGGUGAAAGGCCAAUCAAACUUCGUGAUAGCUGGUUCUCUCCGAAAUAUAUUUAGGUAUAGCGUUGUGUCGUAAUAUAAGGGGGUAGAGCACUGAAUGGGCUAGGGCAUACACCAAUGUACCAAACCCUAUCAAACUCCGAAUACCUUAUAUGUAAUCACAGCAGUCAGGCGGCGAGUGAUAAAAUCCGUCGUCAAGAGGGAAACAACCCAGACUACCAGCUAAGGUCCCUAAAUCUUACUUAAGUGGAAAACGAUGUGAAGUUACUUAAACAACCAGGAGGUUGGCUUAGAAGCAGCCAUCCUUUAAAGAAAGCGUAAUAGCUCACUGGUCUAGUGAUUUUGCGCGGAAAAUAUAACGGGGCUAAAGU